rnacentral:tRNA from 1 species
GGGCCCGUCGUCUAGCCUGGUUAGGACGCCGCCCUUACACGGCGGAGGUCCGGGGUUCGAGUCCCCGCGGGCCCA